CCUACGGGAGGCAGCAGUAGGGGAUCUUCCACAAUGGGCGAAAGUCUGAUGGAGCAACGCCGCGUGAGUGAAGAAGGGUUUCGGCUCGUAAAGCUCUGUUGGUAGUGAAGAAAGAUAGAGGUAGUAACUGGCCUUUAUUUGACGGUAAUUACUUAGAAAGUCACGGCUAACUACGUGCCAGCAGCCGCGGUAAUACGUAGGUGGCAAGCGUUGUCCGGAUUUAUUGGGCGUAAAGCGAGUGCAGGCGGUUCACUAAGAUUGAUGUGAAAACCUUUGGCU
rnacentral:rRNA from 1 species